rnacentral:rRNA from 1 species
GACGAACGCUGGCGGCGUGCCUAAUACAUGCAAGUCGAACGCUGAGGGAGGAGCUUGCUUCUCUGGAUGAGUUGCGCACGGGUGAGUAAAGCGUAGGUAACCUGCAUGGUAAAGGGGGGGAACUAUUGGAGACGAUGGCUAAUACAGCAUAAGAGUAGUUGUUGCAUGACAUUUGCUUGAAAAGUGCGAUUGCACCGUUACCAGAUGGACGUGCGUUGUAGUAGCUAGUUGGUGGUGUGAUAGCUCACCAAGGCGACGAUACUUAGUCGCCCCGAGAGGGGGGACGGCCACACUGGGACUGAGACCACGCUCAGACCUCUACGGGGAGCAGCCGUAGGGAAUCUUUCGCCAUUGACGGAAAUCCUACCGAACCACGCCGCGUGAGUGGAGAAGGUUUUCGGAUCGUAAAGCUCUUUUGUAAGAGAAGAACGAGAUGUAUAGUGGAAAGUGCACACUGUGACGGUAUCUUACCAGAAAGGCACGGCUAACUACGUG